CUGGCCUCCUCCUGGCCUUAGCUUUUAUCUCGCUCGCAAGAUGGGAUCCAUUUCACCUGCAGUAUCUUCCAUGGAAGGCAACACCUGAGGCAGCUUUCCAUCCAGCUGUGUCACCUUUCUCCAAUUUCAAGGAGUCAAACUUUUGUCCAAGUCAUGUCCAUUACAAUUGAAGGUAACAUGAUUAGUUGAUUUCACUAUGUGCCUGGAAAAUACAUAAUACCGCCCCUUGAAAGGUUUUUAGUCAUACACUAAUUUCAGCGUCUUUAGUUUACCAGGCUCUUUCGGGAGAUCAAGUUGAACACUGACCAGGCUAAGAAUGGGUUAAUAUUUAUUUAAAAUAGGUGGGCAUUUACUCCAGGUCAGACCCCUUGUUGUAUAUAUUUUCUGAAUAAAUGUAAUUCCUCUGAGCAUUAUUGUGAGCAGACUGGACUUGUUUGCUCUGCUUUUGUUUCAGAGUCAAUUUUCCAUCAUUUGCUCAUUUUAUACGAACCACUCACUCCCCAAUUGUGCUUGUAUAUCGCACACCUUUGGUCGCUGCAAAUUCAAUGAUUCGAUGCAGUCAGACGUCCUCACUAUAAAAACUUUUUGCCAACCGACAUCAUUCUAAACAGAAUUUGCCUGUAACUUUAUGACAGCUGCGUACCGUCACUUGGAUCGAAAGAGAUCGAAUGCUGUCUUUGCAUCUAUUUCUCUCCUUCCGAUUGGACUGAUACGAGUACAUAUUUCUGUGCACAAGAUGAACCUGUUGGUGUCAACGUGCCUUCAGGUGAGAAUUAUUGUGAACUGUUGCUGUACAGAUGAGGCGAAUUGAACUGAAUAGGUUGUAGUCGGUGGAGUGAAGGCGCUACACACUUUUAUUUUUAUGCUCCUCUCAUUUCAGACAGAAAAAAAAAAAGAUUUGAAGGAUUCCUCUUAAAUCCCCAACUGACCCGUCCUCUGUGCGAGGUGGAGGAGAGAGCAGUAUUGAUCAGCUGACCUGGCUCCUUGACUGUUAACGCCUGAGCAGCCUUGAAGAAAACACCAGAAUCUUGAUAAGGUGCCAGCCCGACAGCAGCUCUUAUCCUUACCUCCAGGAUUACCUGGCCUUCUAGGUGCAGCCUGCAGGCUCCCCUUCCCUCCAGCAUCACCUGAGCUGCCGUUAAACACAUAACUACGGCGGCGGAGUGAGAUGGACGCCAGAUUGAGGCUAAACCGCAGCCCCCCUCUCCGUUGCAAGCAUCCAAAAUUAGAUAUAGGUAAACAGACACUGGUUGCUCUAUACCUGUGGCAACUGCAUCGCAGAGUAGAGUGCGAGUGAAUGUGCAGCUACACUCCGGUGAGAUCAAUAUCCCACAGGGUAGAGCACAAACAUCGCAGUCAUUCGUCAAUCUAUAACACUGCUGCUCCUCUGCCCUCUAACCACUACUAUGAACAGGGCAUUAUGAUGUUAGACUGGACUGGACUGUGCAUUAUGAAUGAGAGUGGAGAAAACUGUAACCAAGCACGAUCCCUGAAUUUAACUAUUUCGCUGCGCCUCCAGUCUGAGAGCAAUGAGGGGGGUGGGGGGGGGAGGGAGAAAAAGAGCUAUGAAACAGAUUGAACAUCAGUGGGGAAAGAGGUGAAAUGGGAAGAAAUAAAAACUGAUGAAGAUGGAAAUGAGACAGGUGAGAAAUGAGGAAGAGUUGGGAAAUAAUUUAUUUAUACAUUUUUCAGGGAUGAGAGGGGAGGGGGUGGAAAAAUAGGCGACACUUUACGCAAUGGCUUUUGGAACCGAGCCCAUCUGGACAACUAAUUCCUCUAUUCAUCAAAACACACAGUGUCAGAGUUGACGUUUGACUAAUGAGCGUUGGUCAGACGAUCUUGUUCGGUCAAUAACCUCCACCGAUCUCGCACUCCGCUUGGCCUGGGAUGCUGUAUGUAAAACUUAAUAAUGGAUGAUCAUUUUAACUUUUAAUGCACGUUGAGGCGGAGUAAGAGUCGCCUUUAAUCUAGCAUCCAGCCAGCAGCCUUAGCCAAGCCUACUGAGAGUGCAUUUAUAGCAGUGGCUCUUGUGGUUCUGAGCCUGAGGAUCAUCAUUAAACAACUGUUGUUUUGUGCCAUAAAAGCAGCUGUUUUCUAAAUUAAAGGACAGGACUAAUUUUAUUUUCCAACACAACUAAAUAUUCUGCUCGCUUCCAGUUGAGGGAGAAAAUUUGAGUUGUUUAAUUUCAUUUUUUUCUAACCUGUGAAAAUGUAAUUACACUCACCAACGAGUGUUAGUCCUGAUCCAAAUUGCAUUACGGAGCAACCCACGACUCCUGCUGAGGUGAAUUUUGUUGGGGUUUUUUUUGUUGUUUUUUUUGCACGGUGAAUAUAAAUGCCUCAUGUGCAACCACGGACAAACUGCUUCAGUGUUUUUUUUCCUUUUUAGGCUGGCAUUGCAAGUAGCUCAUGAAUUUCCAUGAAUGAGGCCACACCUCAUCAGUUUUGAAUUAAUUAUCAAAUAUCGCAGACACCUUUAUGUUUCAUUGGAAAGUGUCAGAAUAACUGAUCACCUAAUACUGGCCACAUGGCCCUUGAGGGAACGUCGAGUCAGUUAUAGGCAGGGACAGUAUAUAUUGAAUUGCCGAGGCGUUUCAUAUGACACAAAGACUCAUAAACAGCAACACAGCCUUUCAGAGGGAAGUCGGUCCAACAACAUGUAGGCUAUUUGUCUUUCUAUUUUCGUGAGCACAAAAAAAAAAAAAAAAAGCACAAAAUUCCUUAUGUGAUCCCAACACAAUUAGUUUAUCCGUUUCCUCGACCUUUACCGAAUAGGAUGUUCCAUCUUUUUUUUUUUUUUUAAAACGAUUGAAGUAGAAAUAUUUUUGCAUACUUAUUUAAAAGAAGAAGAAAAAAAAAACCCUCUGGCAGCAGAUGUGGGUAGAUAUUGAAUCUUGAUCCUAUUAGGUCUUAACACAGCUUAUGAAACCAUCAACCAUGCAGUUUUAUUCAUCUGUUUACAACAAGGAGGGCAAAUGUCAUCAGUUCAAGUUAAGAGCUGAAAUAUCAUUUGAAUAAUCAGUUAUCUGAUGCCCUUUGUGUUGCCUGUUAAACAAUUUAGCUGAUGUUCCUUAGAGCUCGGUAUGUUGUUAAUUUGCUCCUAAACUCUUAUACCUAUAAAUAUCACUGGCUAUUCUCCUGCUUAUUUUUUUUAAAUGUUAUGGACUACAUGAAUAAUCACUGGAGAGAUAACUAAGAAAAGAAAGAGAAAGACAAGGUCUGUUAUGAGUGCUCAUUUUAAGCUGUGCAAAGGAAAUUUCAUUGCAAGCCUGUGCAACGAGAAUUUAAAAAAAAAUUGAAGGAAAAUAUAAGAAAACAUCACUGCCUUCCCGUUGACCUUCUUAAGAGACCUUAUAAGGACUCAUAAGUUUUUUACACUGUGCGCAGUCUGGUGGGGUCACACUGACCCUGUCUGCGCUUUUACGAGUAUAUUUGUUUUGUGUGUGUGUGUGUGUGUGUGUGUGUGGUUUCAGAAGCUGACGGUCUGACGGGACAACCCCCCCGGCUUCCCUGCUGUCCGAUCAUGACUUUUGCUGCGCUCCUCCUUCGCAUCGCGUUGAGACCCUGGGAGGGUUAAAUCAUGAAAUAACUUUUUGGUUCAAUUGUAUUAGUCACCCACCUGAUUGCUGCUCGACCUCUGACCUUUAGAAUUAAGAAAUCAAUGAAACAGGAUUUUACCAAACCUAUUUUCAUUUUGGACCACAUUGAGAUUAUGAAUCUCAAGGGGCUGAUUGUGGGAGGAAAUAUUGAUAAAACUACCCACUAAACUGUUAAAAUAUGACCAAAUAGCUGUCUCUGAAAGUAUUUCUUAAAGUUAAAUAACACUGAACAUCUUUUCACAUCUAUGUAUUUGGCACCAUAUAAAUAAAAACUGAUCAAAUGAUAUUUAAGCACACACUUGAUAUCUUGAAGGUUUUAUUCAUGUGACCCUCAAAAGUAUAUAGAGUGUCACGUAAAAAGUGUCACAUGCAAAAAGUUAGGCAAAUUUCAAGAAAGGGUGAGAAACGGACUCACUGGCAUCCAGCCAUGUAUAAAGGAUGACAAAACCAUUUCUAGGAAUCAGGGACUCCACCAAACCACAGCGACAGCAAUUAUCCACUAAUUAAGAUAAUAAGGAAGACUUGUAUACCUUCCUAGGAGUGCCAGUCUGACAAAGUUUCUCCAAGAGCACAUUGACAAAGUCUUGCUUUGAGCCUGGUUUGCUCUUCAAAACCCAAGCAUUUUACUUUAUUCUUUCAUAUUUACUGUACUUGCAAAGCUUCGCCCAACCUUCAACAUUAGCAUCAGCAAUAAAACUCUAAACUUCAGCUGCUCACUUCUCAGCAGGCACAAAGGAGAGAGCACAUGACCCUCAUCUUAUAAUUAUUGAUUUCAAGAUUCUGCUCUUAAACUACAAAGCAUUCAGAAUCCGCUCUCCCGUUUACAGAUCUGAACUCAUGACCUCACAUGUGUCAGAGUGCAGCCUUAGAUCAUCUGAUGAGCCUUCAAAGAGAAACUUUUUGGUAAGGGCACGCAAUCUCCCACAGCUUAUAUAUUCUAUAACUUUAUUUUCUGUCGAAGCAGCUUUGAGUUUCUACUUGACAUCUUUCUUUUCGAGCAAAAUAAUUUGGUCUCCUCAUUUUUCAUAGUUUGUCGAAUUACAACAAGGUUCUAUGUAUUCUAUUUUUCAGCGCAUGUAUUCUGCUUUUUUAUUCAUAAUUAUAACUGUGGGUCUUUUGGGCGAUGUUUCCCCUAGUUUUGCACGUCUAGCAACUGAAUUUUUUUUUUUUUUAUCUAUUCUUUGCAAAAUAGCUUAACUUCACUCUGGCUGUAUGGAGACGAGAUUAAUUUACAUGGUUUGGCACCAGUUUUGAUGUGGAUUCAAGUCUGAGCUUGAAUCCAAUCCAAUAAAUGGACCUGUUUUGAUGAGGUUUGUAUCAGAUUAAAAGUCUUUUCAGAUUUUAGUUAGAAAAACAAAAGUUUUAACACCAUGUAUCUUUUUGUUCCUCUUCCCAAUAAUGCACUACUUUAUGUCGGUCCCUUGCGUAAAAUCUCUCAUUAAACUGCCUUAAAUCAAUAAACAUAUUAAUGGAUACCUGCAGUCGGAUCAUGUGUGCAGGUACAAAGCUCCGAUACAGCUAAGAAUCUGUGCUUAGCUUUGUUCUCUUAUUCUUAAAAAAAAAAA